UAGACCAGUGGGCCUUUAUCCCACAACCUUUUAAUUAACAGUUAAAUACUUUUACAUCAAGCUCUAGUCUA
rnacentral:tRNA from 1 species